rnacentral:rRNA from 1 species
UAGGGAAUUUUCGCAAUGGGGGCAACCCUGAACGAGCGAAUGCCGCGUGAGCGAAGAAGGUCUUCGGAUUGUAAAGCUCUGUUGACCGGGGAAAAAGGAAGGAAAGAGGAAAUGCUUUUCUUUGGAUGGUACCCGGCCAGAAAGUCACGGCUAACUACGUGCC